GACGUACGCUGGCGGCGUGCUUAACACAUGCAAGUCGAACGGAAAGGCCCUGCUUUUGUGGGGUGCUCGAGUGGCGAACGGGUGAGUAACACGUGAGUAACCUGCCCUUGACUUUGGGAUAACUUCAGGAAACUGGGGCUAAUACCGGAUAGGAGCUCCUGCUGCAUGGUGGGGGUUGGAAAGUUUCGGCGGUUGGGGAUGGACUCGCGGCUUAUCAGCUUGUUGGUGGGGUAGUGGCUUACCAAGGCUUUGACGGGUAGCCGGCCUGAGAGGGUGACCGGCCACAUUGGGACUGAGAUACGGCCCAGACUCCUACGGGAGGCAGCAGUGGGGAAUAUUGCACAAUGGGCGGAAGCCUGAUGCAGCAACGCCGCGUGCGGGAUGACGCCUUCGGGUUGUAAACCGCUUUCGCCUGUGACGAAGCGUGAGUGACGGUAAUGGGUAAAGAAGCACCGGCUAACUACGUG
rnacentral:rRNA from 1 species